rnacentral:misc_RNA from 1 species
AGCAGCCGCGGUAAUUCCAGCUCCAAUAGCGUAUAUUAAAGUUGUUGCAGUUAAAAAGCUCGUAGUUGAAUUUCGGGAUUAAUAUGUUGGUCGUGCCUUGGUACGUACUGGCAUUAUUGAUUCCUACCUUCUGAAGAACCUCGAUGUCAUUAAUUUGGUGUCUUGGGGAAUCAGGACCGUUACUUUGAAAAAUUAGAGUGUUUAAAGCAGGCUCGCGCUUGAAUACAUUAGCAUGGAAUAAUGAAAUAGGACGUUUGAUUCUAUUUUGUUGGUUUCUAGGAUCGACGUAAUGAUUAAUAGGGAUAGUUGGGGGCAUUAGUAUUCAAUUGUCAGAGGUGAAAUUCUUGGAUUUAUUGAAGACUGACUACUGCGAAAGCAUUUGCCAAGGAUGUUUUCAUUAAUCAAGAACGAAAGUUAGGGGAUCGAAGACGAUCAGAUACCGUCGUAGUCUUAACCGUAAACUAUGCCGACUAGGGAUCGGAUGAUGUUAAUUUUUAAUGACUCAUUCGGCGCCUUACGG